rnacentral:rRNA from 1 species
UACGAAGGGGGCUAGCGUUGUUCGGAUUUACUGGGCGUAAAGGGCGCGUAGGCGGCUUGACAAGUCAGGCGUGAAAGCCCCGGGCUUAACCCGGGAAUUGCGCUUGAUACUGUCUGGCUAGAGUCCGGGAGAGGAUGGCGGAAUUCCCAGUGUAGAGGUGAAAUUCGUAGAUAUUGGGAAGAACACCGGUGGCGAAGGCGGCCAUCUGGACCGGUACUGACGCUGAGGCGCGAAAGCGUGGGGAGCAAACAGG